rnacentral:rRNA from 1 species
GUACGCUAUUCAGAGUUUGAUCCUGGCUCAGGAUGAACGCUAGCUACAGGCUUAACACAUGCAAGUCGAGGGGUUUCGAGGGAGCUUGCUCCCAAGAGACGACCGGCGCACGGGUGAGUAACGCGUAUCCAACCUGCCCUUCAUAUUGGGAUAGCCUCUCGAAAGGGAGAUUAAUACCGAAUAACAUAGUUUAGUUGCCUGACCAGACUAUGAAAGCUCCGGCGAUGAAGGAUGGGGAUGCGUUCCAUUAGGUAGUAGGCGGGGUAACGGCCCACCUAGCCAACGAUGGAUAGGGGUUCUGAGAGGAAGGUCCCCCACACUGGAACUGAGACACGGUCCAG